rnacentral:rRNA from 1 species
UACGAAGGGGGCUAGCGUUGCUCGGAAUCACUGGGCGUAAAGGGCGCGUAGGCGGCGUUUUAAGUCGGGGGUGAAAGCCUGUGGCUCAACCACAGAAUGGCCUUCGAUACUGGGACGCUUGAGUAUGGUAGAGGUUGGUGGAACUGCGAGUGUAGAGGUGAAAUUCGUAGAUAUUCGCAAGAACACCGGUGGCGAAGGCGGCCAACUGGACCAUUACUGACGCUGAGACGCGAAAGCGUGGGGAGCAAACAGG